UCAGCAACAGCCCAAUAUCUCUCUCUCUCUUUCUCUCUCUCUCUCUCUCUCUCUCUCUCAGUGUACCUAUGUUAAAAUAAACUCUGCGUUUAAGCUUAAAGUGGUACUUUGCCAUUCUUUGCUUACUGGAACCGAGAUUGCUGGUCCUGGCCUUCCGUUGACCUCCUCGGUUGAAGCUAUUUCGUUACAACGCACGUCCACCCGGUGACAAAAUUUCUGCUAAGGGACUGUACACAUCCUCUCCAUGUAGGCUGUUACCUACGCCACUCCACCUCCAUCCUUGCUUCCGUGCUUUGGGAGAAUUACUACCUCUCAAUGCUUACAGAGAUCUCAGGAGCAAAGGAAGAAUAGGACUUGACCAGCACUGAAUUCAACCUCAGUCAUAUUCCAAAAGAUGGAAAAGUAAUAAAGACACUCUUGCUGCCACGUGAACUAUGUUCUAUGACUCCAGAUCUAAGGGAUUUAUCCUCCUCCACAGUGCCUAUAAUAUCUUGAGGGAAAAGAGACAAACUGAUUCCUUAAUUCAAGGUCUUCUCCUGGUGUGUCCUGCGAAGUUUUCUGAAGCCCUACUCUUUUUGGUUUGAAUUGAGCGAUCUGACCUUAGCGCUGGAACCCCAAAACACUCCACCUGCAGACCCUGAUAAAGGUGUUUGUUCUAGGUCCUGUCUCCCACUCUGUCUGCACCCUGCCUUCACCUACCCUUGUGGCCUCUCAAGGCGUGUUGUGUACUUCCUCCAGGACCUG